rnacentral:rRNA from 1 species
AAGCACUUUUUUAGAACUCUUCGGAGGGAAGAGAGGGUGACUUACCGUGCGGACGGGUGAGUAACGCGUGGGCAACCUGCCUUACACAGGGGGAUAACAAUUAGAAAUGAUUGCUAAUACCGCAUAAGACCCCAGCGCCGCAUGGUACAGGGGUAAAAACUGAGGUGGUGUAAGAUGGGCCCGCGUCUGAUUAGGUAGUUGGUGGGGUAGAAGCCUACCAAGCCGACGAUCAGUAGCCGACCUGAGAGGGCGACCGGCCACAUUGGGACUGAGACACGGCCCAAACUCCUACGGGAGGCAGCAGUGGAGAAUAUUGCACAAUGGGGGAAACCCUGAUGCAGCGACGCCGCGUGAGUGAGGAAGUAUUUCGGUAUGUAAAGCUCUAUCAGCAGGGAAGAAAAUGACGGUACCUGACUAAGAAGCCCCGGCUAACUACGUGCCAGCAGCCGCGGUAAUACGUAGGGGGCAAGCGUUAUCCGGAUUUACUGGGUGUAAAGGGAGCGUAGACGGAAUUGCAAGUCUGAUGUGAAAAUCCGGGGCCCAACCCCGGAACUGCAUUGGAAACUGUAUUUCUAGAGUGUCGGAGAGGCAAGUGGAAUUCCUGGUGUAGCGGUGAAAUGCGUAGAUAUCAGGAGGAACACCAGUGGCGAAGGCGGCUUGCUGGACGAUGACUGACGUUGAGGCUCGAAAGCGUGGGGAGCAAACAGGAUUAGAUACCCUGGUAGUCCACGCCGUAAACGAUGACUACUAGGUGUCGGGAGGCAAAGCCUUUCGGUGCCGCAGCCAACGCAAUAAGUAGUCCACCUGGGGAGUACGUUCGCAAGAAUGU